AGAAUCAACGCUGGCGGCGUGCCUAACACAUGCAAGUCGCACGAGAAAGGGGCUUCGGCCCUGAGUAAAGUGGCGCACGGGUGAGUAACACGUGAAUUAUCUACCUCCGAGUGGGGAAUAACUGAGAGAAAUCUUAGCUAAUACCGCAUAACACUUACGAGUCAAAGCAGCAAUGCGCUUGGAGAGGAGUUCGCGGCCGAUUAGUUAGUUGGCGGGGUAAUGGCCCACCAAGACGAUGAUCUGUA
rnacentral:rRNA from 1 species